AUUUUCCUCCAAGAAAAUGGCCAUGGAAGCUUGAAAAUUUUCAGCAACUUAAAGCCUUUGCAAGUAAGUGACUUUGAGGGCUUUUAUUGAAUAUUUUUGUACUUUUGAGAUCCUUGUAACAUGAGCUUUCUAACAAUGGUACUAUUUUCAAAAUGGUUAAAAUUAUAGGGUUUUGUCAUGAUAGUAGACAUGUUGAUUUAUGAAAUUUUAUGGAAUAAUAUGAGUUAUGGUUGUGAAAUAAACAACUUUUGUGAAGUAGUUUUCAUGGACACCCUAGCUAGGGACCAUUUUGCAUAAGUCGUAAAAUAGUUGAUAAAUGUGUGAAAUAAUGGGAAUUGCAGGCUGAUCCUAGUAUGAAAAUUAUUCGGCUAGGCUUUAUUAAUGAGAAAAUGUGAUAAAAAUCAAAUUUUGAACCUAGGGGUAAAAUGGUCAUUUUGUGAAAGUCUAGAGGCAAAAUGAUCAUUUUGCCCAAUCAUGAAUUUUCAAGUGCCUAGAUUAAUAUACUGAUGAAACGAAUAAAUUUCUAUCAUUUUAGAUCAAGAAUUACAAAAUCUGGGCCUAGACCGGGGAAAAGCAAAGCAAGUAGACUAAGCCGAACUAGUCGUUUACAUUUUGUAUACCGAGGUAAGUUGUAUGUAAAUAAUACAACUACAUUGUUAUUAUAUGUGUUUGAAUUGAUAUAACAUAAAUUGCUUGUUUGUGGAAGUGAUUAUGUAUGAUGAUAAUUGAGAUAAUAGAACUCCCGGGUGAACCUUAGGAACAAAUCGGUUAUUCAUGCCAGGACAUUUGGGUUAUUUGUGUGCUAGUGUAAGACAUGUCUAGGACAUGCAUCGACCACAUUAUGAGAGCCAGUGUAAGACCAUGUCUGGGACAUGGCGUCGGCAUUGAGACGAAAGCUAGUGUAAGACAUAUUUGGGACAUGCAUCGGCCUCGAGAUGUAAGCAGUGUAAGACAUGUCUGGGACAUGCAUCGGCUACGAGAUGUACCAAUGUAAGACCAUGUCUGGGACAUGACAUCGGCACGGAUAUGUGAGAGCUAGUGUAAGACCAUGUCUGGGAUAUGGCGUCGGCCUCAAUUUCGAUAGUCAGCGUAAGACUAUGUCUAGGACAUGGCAUCGACAUUAUACCCUAUGUUUGAGGCUUAGUGAAUAUCCGAUAGCAUUCCAAAUGGUUCAACAGUGAGAGUUAUAGUUUAAGUUAAACGAGAAAGGUAUAACCAUGUUGUGAGUGGUACAGGUACCUAUUUGAAAUGUAUGAGAUGUGAACUCAAUAGAUGCUAUGUGAAUUGUGUUGGAUAGUGAUAAGUAAGUUGUACUUACGUCUAUUUAUGGUAUUCAUGAAUAAGUUAUGAAAGGUUAUGAGCAUAUUGCUUUAUGAUAAGUAGUUGUUAUUUAUUUUCAUGCAACUUACUAAGUUUUAUGCUUACCCUAUUUCCUUUUCAUUUUCUUAUAGUGCCGCCUAAUUAGCUCGAGGAUCAUCGGACGUCGAAGGCAUAAAUCACACUAUCAUCUGAAGCAUUUGGUAUAGUUAGUUCUUUUACUUUAAUUAUGGCAUGCAUAUGAACUUUUGAUUUUGUGUUAGUGUCACAUUGUUUUGGGGCCAAAUAUCUUAGCUUGUUUUAGUAUUUUACUCAUUUUGUAUAAGGCCAUGGAAAAAUGGCUAAUAUUGAAAGUUAUUAUAUUAAUACAAGAAGACCUUUCAUGAAUGAGUAAUUUGUUGAUUGCUUAAGUAUAUGUGAAAUGUGUAGAGACCUUAAAUGUGGUUGCUGGAUUGAGAAAUCAGGUUAUGUUAAUCUUUAGUAUGUGAAUGUUGUUAUAUUGUGUUUUAGGGUGGCAAAAGACUUGGUAUGUGACAGCCCUAUUCUGACAUUAGUCGGGAAGUGGUUUCGGGACUGCUAAACCGAGUCGCAGAAAAAAAAAUUGAAUAUAAUAUUUUAUGUCUAAAAUAUGUGAUCAUGCAUGUGUGAAAUUUGAAUGCUUUGAUUUUUGUCAAUUUGAAUGUGUUUCUAAAUAAAAAGGACUUAUGUGAGAAGCUUUGAAUAUAUGUGUGGCUUAUUUUAAGUGAUUAAUUAUUGAAUGAUGCAAAUAAGUGGGUUUGCAUGUCAAAUUGCCACUUUUAAUGUUAGUGGCCGGCCAUGAUGGUUUUGGUGAGCAAAAUAAGCAUAUUUUAUAUGUAUAAUAAUGAAUUUAUAUUUUUUUAAGUAGUUUAUUGAUAUAUUUAUUAUUAUAUAGUUAUUGAUAAAAAUAAAAUAAGAAUGGGGGAAGAAAACAAGAACUCAUCUUUGUUUUUUCACCUAGCCGAAUUUCAUAAAAAGAAGAAGAGUGGAUGAUGGUUUUGGGGACCAUUCGGUCAAUUGGAGGCAAAUUUGAAGGUAAUUUGAUGUGGUUUUGUAAAUUGUUGAUGAAUUUGUGUUUCUCUUUUUUUUUUUUCUAGCGAAACCCACUUGAUAAAUUUAAUUUUUAUGAGGCAUUUUAGAUUCAGCCUUAGUGAAAAUGAGUGAGGAAAUUUGAGUUGAGGAUAGAAGAUAGUAAACGAAUGUUCAAUGGACAAUUUGAUACCAAAAUUCAUAUGUUUAUGAGCUUGUUUUUGAAAAGUAUGUUACAUGUGAGUGAUUAGUUCAUGAAGAGAUUUUCGGUUAUGUUGUUUUGUAUGAGUAAUGGAUUGCUGAGUUCAUGCUAUUAUGAAUAAAAUUAAGAGAGGCUUGAGAUAAUUAAAUAUGCAUGUUGGUGGUAAGAUGAGCAUUCGGUUUUUAUCAUGGAAGCAUAGGGAGCUAGUUAAAAGUUGAAUUUUAGAAAAGUUAAAUGUGUGUGUGCUUGUGCUAGUGCCGAAUGUGCCUAGGGUGAUUUAGCAUUGAGUUUGGUGUUAUAUGAAUUGAGUUUUAUGGUUUUGGAUUUUUAAGUGUUGUUAAAUACUUUGAAUAAUAUAUAUAAGUGGCUUUGAUAUGUGAAAUUCGGCCAAGUGGUUAUAAGCAUGAUUUUAGAAAUUCAAUGAUAUUCGACUGAUUUGAAUAAUUCAUGGCACCCCAAGCAAAUUAGUUUUAGAUGUUAAUAAAUAUUGAAAUUAUUUAAGCAUAUUACCGAAUGUGAUUUUAGUUAAUGAUUCGGUUAUGAGUGCUGAUUUGUUUUAUAAUUAGCCAAAUGUGUAUAUGUAUACUAUGAGGUGGUUUAGCUUAAAGAAAAUUAAGGUGCUCCGAAGGUGAUUGUCGUGGAUAGUUUAAGUAAUGAAAUUUAAUUUCUGUUAUGUAAAGUGAUGACAUUGCUGUUUGCAAAUUUGAAGUUAAAAAUUGUUGAUUGAGCAUCAAGAGCUUAUGGGGAC
rnacentral:lncRNA from 1 species